rnacentral:rRNA from 1 species
AACGAACACUGGCGGCAGGCCUAACACAUGCAAGUCGAGCGCCCCGCAAGGGGAGCGGCGGACGGGUGAGUAACGCGUGGGAACGUACCCUUUGCUACGGAAUAGCCUCGGGAAACUGGGAGUAAUACCGUAUGUGUCCUUCGGGAGAAAGAUUUAUCGGCAAGGGAUCGGCCCGCGUUGGAUUAGGUAGUUGGUGGGGUAAUGGCCUACCAAGCCGACGAUCCAUAGCUGGUUUGAGAGGAUGAUCAGCCACACUGGGACUGAGACACGGCCCAGACUCCUACGGGAGGCAGCAGUGGGGAAUCUUAGACAAUGGGCGCAAGCCUGAUCUAGCCAUGCCGCGUGAGCGAUGAAGGCCUUAGGGUUGUAAAGCUCUUUCAGGGGGGAAGAUAAUGACUGUACCCCCAGAAGAAGCCCCGGCUAACUCCGUG